rnacentral:rRNA from 1 species
GGGUCAGUAGGUUGGUCGUGCCACCGGUACGUACUGGUCUCACUGAUUCCUCCUUCCUGAAGAACCGUAAUGCCAUUAAUUUGGCGUUGCGGGGAAACAGGACUGCUACUUUGAAAAAAUUAGAGUGUUUAAAGCAAGCUAACGCUUGAAUACAUUAGCAUGGAAUAAUGAAAUAGGACGAUCGAUCCUAUUUUGUUGGUUUCUAGGAUUGACGUA